UACGUAGGGUGCAAGCGUUAAUCGGAAUUACUGGGCGUAAAGCGUGCGCAGGCGGUUAUGUAAGACAGAUGUGAAAUGCCCGGGCUUAACCUGGGAACUGCAUUUGUGACUGCAUGGCUAGAGUUUGGCAGAGGGGGGGUAGAAUUCCACGUGUAGCAGUGAAAUGCGUAGAGAUGUGGAGGAACACCGAUGGCGAAGGCAGCCCCCUGGGUCAAGAUUGGACGCUC
rnacentral:rRNA from 1 species